GACGAACGCUGGCGGCGUGCUUAACACAUGCAAGUAGAGCGGAGCGGCGAACGGGUGAGUAACGCGUGAGUAACUGCCCCACGCUAUGGGAUAAGAGUUGGCACCGGCUGCUAAUAACGGAUCGCGGGGGAUGACUCGCGUCCUAUCAGCUUGUUGGUGGGGUAGUGGCCUAACAAGGCGACGACGGGUGGCCGGCCUGAGAGGGCGACCGGCCACAUUGGGCGGCGAGACGGCCCGAACGCCUACGGGAGGCAGCAGUGGGGAAUAUUGCACAAUGGUGGAAACCCUGAUGCAGCAACGCCGCGUGCGGGAUGACGGCCUUCGGGUUGUAAACCGCUUUCAGCCAUGACGCGGUAGUGGCAGAAGAAGCACCGGCUAACUACGUGCCAGCAGCCGCGGUAAUAC
rnacentral:rRNA from 1 species